AUCAGUGUAAGCCAUUAAGUUGCCUAUAAAACCCCCUACACUGCACUGACUCAUUGCCCAAUGUAGGUCUAUGUCCUAUAGUUCCUGGAUGUGAUUCUUCCUGUUCCCGACCUUUGUCUGUUUUUGACCUUUGCUGUAUCACUGCCUGAACUGACCCUUCUCUAUUUGAUCACUCUUCUGGAUCCUGACUUUGUACCAUAUUACUGAUUGGCACAUUUACACAUUGGUUUACAUACACCAUUUGUUUCUUAUAUUUGGAAUGUAAGGAAGCAACAUGCAGAAUAUAUUAAUUGCUGUGGAAGUGUAACCCACUGAGGAUGCAUAUAUUGAAGGACAAAGAAGGGACAAUCUGAUGGCUGGAGGAGUCAUGGAGCAACAUGUAUGCAGAGUCUCAGCAAGCAGGAAGUGCGUGGGCAUGGCCAAUGAAGGAGGAAGCAGAAGCAAGCCGGAGGAAACUGGAGGUAAAUUGAUGAACCAAUGAUGUAUCUGGAGAAUUCCACCAACGAUCAAGUCCCCAUCGCUAAAGUAGUUCAUCCUGCUGAGGCUCCUCAGUUGGCACCCAGAGCUGGGACUGGCCAUUUCAGCUGCACAAGGAAAUAUCUGGAACAUCAGAACCACAAAGAGAACCUUGAAUCUGUCAGGAAACAGAACCUCCAUUGAUCCACAGAACUGAGCAAAGAGAUGGUGCAAAUUCUUGAGCAAAUGGGGGCAGAGUGAAGACAUCUUUGUACCAGAAACAAAGCAGCCAAAGUGUAUAUUUCUAGCAAUGUUCCCUUAGUUAUAUAUCUUCCCUGAACUGCAAUCUAUGAGCAGCUACACCCACUGAUAUAUUUUAGCAGCACAGUUAUAGAGUUUCCGAAAUCAGCCAUAAUAGCCUGUGUUCAGCUCUUCCCAAUACAGCAGCAGCCUUGGGAUUUAUGGAUUUUACUUAGAACCUCUGACUUAUUUUAAUUCAUGGAGCUGAAACUUAAAGUCAUGGCUGGAACUAGGGGUCGGCAGAAGAGGCACCUGUCUAGGACACAAUGAUGGGGGGUGCUGAGCAGGUUCCUUUUGAAGAGUUUUCUGCCUACCCCUAGUUCAGCUUUCUUGCUCCAGCUGCCUCUCCAUUCUUGUAAUCAUGUGCACCUCCCCCGCUGGGUUGUCUAGGGUGCCUGGUCGGCUUGAACCGCUGCUGCUUAAAGCUCCGGUUUUGGGCCUUUUUGACAGUAAACAGAUGUUUAAACAAACUCCAACUCAAACGUGCCUUUGGUGUUUUACUUUAAGGGGCUGAUUUUUGAAGGUUGGUUCAUUUUUCUGAAUCGUACUUUGUAGCUCAAGUGAACAAAUUUUUCGGAUAGGUACUUAAUCAAAAUGUUUUGUAAUUUAUCAAGUGUAAAAACCAUAUAACCUAUAAAUACAAAAGUGAGCCAAGUGAAAGCUGUCGGUCAUGUAGAAGUCAAGUUCCCUUUCUUAUCUUGCAAAGAUCAGCCUUUUGUUCAUGGUUUUAGAGGUUUCAUUCAUUUAUUGUUGUAUAGAUUUUUUGUUUGUUCAAGAAAAAUUCUGGGUUUUCAGGUUUUUUCGGGGCCUACCCCAUUUCAUUUAUAGUUUAAUUGACAUUUCAAUCAUUUACAAGGCAUUCAUGAUUUUAGAGUUUAAUCAUGGUUUGAAAAAGUGCUGCAAACCACUAAGCUGAGAGAAAGAGAUCAAACAGACAUUCUUCCUAAUUUCCACCAUAUCUGUUCUUCAGGUUGACCUCCCACCCACUAUAUUGGACCACCCUAAGUGGUUCAGAAUCAUAAUUUGAGAAUAUUUGAUUUUAUGUGAUAUUAAAAUGUUUCAAGUUCUUAUAGGGAUGUGUGUAGAUCAUUUUUUUUUUUUUAUUAUUUGAAGAUUUUAUUUUCAUAGAAAAAAGAAAAACUCUUACAAGCAUAAAAGUAACACAUGAGCGAUUGGUUCAAUUACAUUAUCGAAGAUUGGAAUAACAAGACAUGUAGGCACUGCUAUAGACAUAUCUUUGUGUCACCAAUAAACCCAUGUAUUGAGCAUAUAAGCGAAUAAUUGUCUUUAUUAGCGCUGUCGUCACGUGCUCAAGCUGUAGUAUGUGGUAAGUAUUGGCCAAUCCGCUAUCAAUGCUUCGCAGAGAUCCAAGAGGGGAGGAAAAAAGUAAACAAUAAAAGUAAUAGUGAGGGGAAAGAGGGGAAAGAAAUUGAGGAAGGGGGGUCAGAGAAUGAGAGCAGAGGAGUCAAACCAUUGAGUCAGUUCGAGUCUGUUUGGGUUGUCUCGAAUUCAGCCCAGGGGAGCCAUAACAGUGCGGGUUAGUAUACUGUACCUUGUACACAUGCUCAGAUGGUUUGCUUUUUUUUUUUUUUUUUAUUAUUUGAAGCUGUUAUCGUUUUUCAACAUGACAAUUAAAAAAGAUGCAAGAAAGUAUAAC